rnacentral:rRNA from 1 species
UACGAAGGGGGCUAGCGUUGUUCGGAUUUACUGGGCGUAAAGCGCACGUAGGCGGAUUGGUCAGUUAGGGGUGAAAUCCUGGAGCUCAACUCCAGAACUGCCUUUAAUACUGCCAAUCUCGAGUCCGGAAGAGGUAAGUGGAACUCCUAGUGUAGAGGUGGAAUUCGUAGAUAUUAGGAAGAACACCAGUGGCGAAGGCGGCUUACUGGUCCGGUACUGGACGCUGAGGUGCGAAAGCGUGGGGAGCAAACAGG